rnacentral:rRNA from 1 species
GACGAACGCUGGCGGCGCGCCUAACACAUGCAAGUCGAACGAGCGAGCGAGAGCUUGCUUUCUCGAGCGAGUGGCGAACGGGUGAGUAACGCGUGAGGAACCUGCCUCAAAGAGGGGGACAACAGUUGGAAACGACUGCUAAUACCGCAUAAGCCCACGGUGCCGCAUGGCACAGAGGGAAAAGGAGCAAUCCGCUUUGAGAUGGCCUCGCGUCCGAUUAGCUAGUUGGUGAGGUAAUGGCCCACCAAGGCGACGAUCGGUAGCCGGACUGAGAGGUUGAACGGCCACAUUGGGACUGAGACACGGCCCAGACUCCUACGGGAGGCAGCAGUGGGGAAUAUUGCACAAUGGGGGAAACCCUGAUGCAGCGACGCCGCGUGGAGGAAGAAGGUCUUCGGAUUGUAAACUCCUGUUGUUGGGGAAGAUAAUGACGGUACCCAACAAGGAAGUGACGGCUAACUACGUG